GUUUGAGGGUCACCUGGUCCCCGAAAUCUUUAUAAAGCAAAACGGCGACGCUUUACCAACAAAGUGAUAUUAGAGUCGUCGAGAUGAAGUUCGCUCUCAUUUUUGGGUUUAUUUUCAUCACUGCUGUUAGCGUCCAAAACACAAAGGCGCAGAGUAAUGUGCAAAACUGGCCAUACCAAUAUCAGCAAUCAGCAUAUCCUGCAAAUCACGCUGGACGAGUCAGUUCUUACAGUGCAAUAGAUGCACCUACUCGCUCACCAUGUGAACCGUCCUUCAGAUCCAUCCUAGGUAUCUGCAGACGCACAUAUAAUAAUUGAAAAUGAACUCAACUCCUGAGAUUCGGCAAUUGAUUGAAAGUCUGUCAAAUAAUAAAAAUAAAAUUUAAAAAGUCA